rnacentral:rRNA from 1 species
GCAAGUCGAGCGGUACAGAUCCAGCUUGCUGGAUGCUGACGAGCGGCGGACGGGUGAGUAAUGCAUAGGAAUCUGCCCGAUAGUGGGGGAUAACCUGGGGAAACCCAGGCUAAUACCGCAUACGUCCUACGGGAGAAAGGGGGCUUCGGCUCCCGCUAUCGGAUGAGCCUAUGUCGGAUUAGCUAGUUGGUGAGGUAAAGGCUCACCAAGGCAACGAUCCGUAGCUGGUCUGAGAGGAUGAUCAGCCACAUCGGGACUGAGACACGGCCCGAACUCCUACGGGAGGCAGCAGUGGGGAAUAUUGGACAAUGGGGGCAACCCUGAUCCAGCCAUGCCGCGUGUGUGAAGAAGGCCCUCGGGUUGUAAAGCACUUUCAGCGAGGAAGAACGCCUAGUGGUUAAUACCCGCUAGGAAAGACAUCACUCGCAGAAGAAGCACCGGCUAACUCCGUGCCAGCAGCCGCGGUAAUACGGAGGGUGCAAGCGUUAAUCGGAAUUACUGGGCGUAAAGCGCGCGUAGGUGGCUUGAUAAGCCGGUUGUGAAAGCCCCGGGCUCAACCUGGGAACGGCAUCCGGAACUGUCAAGCUAGAGUGCAGGAGAGGAAGGUAGAAUUCCCGGUGUAGCGGUGAAAUGCGUAGAGAUCGGGAGGAAUACCAGUGGCGAAGGCGGCCUUCUGGACUGACACUGACACUGAGGUGCGAAAGCGUGGGUAGCAAACAGGAUUAGAUACCCUGGUAGUCCACGCCGUAAACGAUGUCGACCAGCCGUUGGGUGCCUAGCGCACUUUGUGGCGAAGUUAACGCGAUAAGUCGACCGCCUGGGGAGUACGGCCGCAAGGUUAAAACUCAAAUGAAUUGACGGGGGCCCGCACAAGCGGUGGAGCAUGUGGUUUAAUUCGAUGCAACGCGAAGAACCUUACCUACUCUUGACAUCCUGCGAAUUCGGUAGAGAUACCUUAGUGCCUUCGGGAACGCAGAGACAGGUGCUGCAUGGCUGUCGUCAGCUCGUGUUGUGAAAUGUUGGGUUAAGUCCCGUAACGAGCGCAACCCUUGUCCUUAUUUGCCAGCGCGUAAUGGCGGGAACUCUAAGGAGACUGCCGGUGACAAACCGGAAGAAAGU